AUGGCGGAUGCUCAAACACAAAUCGAUUCUAUCAGGAAAUGGAUUGUUCAACACAAACUCCGUACUGUUGGUUGCUUGUGGCUUAGUGGUAUUACCGGUUCAAUUGCGUACAAUUGGUCUCGACCUAACAUGAAAACCAGUGUUAAAAUCAUUCACGCCAGGUUGCAUGCUCAGGGUCUUACUCUGGCAGCAUUAGCAGGAGCUGCAUUGGUAGAAUAUUAUGAUCACAAGUCUGAUGAAAGGGCUGCAAGGGAUUCUAGGCAUUGA